UGCAGGAAGAAUGCCUCCCACUAUGAAAAUGGAAAAGCAUUAAGGAAGCACGACCCAGCUCGGCCCUUUCUGUUGGAAUUGGUGAGGUGGGAGUGACUGAGACAUAAACCUCGCCCCUGAGGAAGGUCUGAUCCUGUGAGCAAGAAAGGCAGUGAGUAAGUACUUACCAGAUUGGCAAAUGUUACGAAGGGAGGGAGUCCCGGUAGUGCAUCUUCGCCCAUCUCCUCCGGGAGUCAGAAAAAGCUUCUCUGAGGAAAGAGGCGGAAGAGAAAAGUGACGAAGCGAGGCUGCAGCCAUUCUGCAAAGUGCCUAGGAAGGGACAUGAAUUUGCUGAAGGAAGAGAAUGUGAGGCCGCUAAAGGAGGGGCUCCUGGAAGAGAAAGCAGGGUGCUGUGGCUUGCUCCUCAAAAGAGUCAGAGCCCUGGUGCCUGAGAGCGGGCGCUCUCACACAGAAACAGGAGCUUCUUUUCUCUUGGAUUCACUGCAGGUGCCCUUACCCAAAAAAGGGUCACCUCGCCUCCUGUUCCAUGGCAGCCUUUGCAUCGUGCUGUUUGGUCCAAGGAAGCACAGCCUGAAUCUGUAGAGGGCAGGAUCUGAGGACGACCUUGCAAGCUGUGUGUACAGAGGUUUGAGCCCCCAAGAUAACAGGAGUUUCCUCACACAGGAAUGUUCUGCCAUGACCAGGAGCUUCCCAUGAAGCUCAAUUUCAUCCCCAAAUCCCUUGGUUGGAAUUAUAUAUGGAGAAUGACUCUGCCCCAGGGAAAUCUUAAGUGCUAGAAAUAGGCUUUAAAAGUUGCUCCAACACCUUUUCUCCCAUUCAGCUAGAAAUUAAAGACUGUCUCCUGUGAAUGAAAAGUUCCUGCAAGCUGGACAGGGCACAAAAGUUACCCCAAUAAGGAGUAUGGAGAGGGUUCACCCCCAGUUUCACUCUUGAUAACCCCAGCCCCAACAAGUUGCAAUCUCAUGAUAUCUGCCAUUAUUUAUUUUUAUGACAUUGAUCGCAUUGAUGAUGAGUGAAAUGAAAAAAAGAAAUCAUGGAAUCACAAGACUUGGAUAAUUCACACCCUAGAUGACCAGUCCUCAGGUCAUUGACACGGGACAGUUUUAAUGGCUCCACCCAUCUUGUGAGUAACGACUCCAGGUGCCAGCAGGUGAAGGUCUGGGCUCCUCAGCAGGGCAGACGAGUCUCACCUCUCUCCAGCCCCAUUGCCAUCACUCUCCUCCACAUGCACCUGCACACACCUGCAGGCCCAGGUCCUCAGCUAUGUACUCUACCUCUUCUCAGCUUUGGAAAUGUCUACUCAUCCUCUGUGGUGCAGUUAAAAUGUCUCCUUGGCGUGUUUUACAGAACUUCCGGACCAGAUUUUACGUAUUCUUCCUUUGUGGAAAGCACUGUGCUGAGAAAAAAAGAGGAAAGAAUCUUGCAUUGAAGUACCUAGCUUUGUUUGCUUUGUCUUUUAAUUUUAAAAAAUUAUAGUCGUGAUAAAAUACACAUAAAACUGACCAUUUGAACCACUUUGAGGUGUGUCGUUUGGUACUGUUAAUUAUACCCACAGUGCUGAAGCUUGGAUCUUUAGAACUUUUUUCUUCAUCUAGCAAAACAGCAACUCUGAGUCCAUGAACAAUAACUCUCCAGUCCCCUUUCCCCAGCCCUGGGCUACCAUUUGUCUGUUCAUCCAGUGAUGGAAAUUUAGUCGCUUCCACCUUUGUCUACUGUGAAUAAUGCUAUUAUGAACAUGAGUAUACAAAUAUCUCGUUAAGACUUUGCUUUCAAUUCUCCUGGAUAUAUAUUAGAAGCUGAUGAUAAUUCUUUUUUAUUUAAUUUCUGAGGAACCCCUUACUGUUACUCAUAGUGGCUGCACGAUUUUAUAUUUCUACUAACAGCGCACAAGGACGCCAACUUCUUGG
ensembl:lncRNA